rnacentral:lncRNA from 1 species
AGACAUGCCAGCAGAACUCUAAAGGCAGAAUGUCCUUCCACCUGUUUUAUGCUGUAAGACAAACUUCCAAGUGCGAGGCAGUGUGGAGGGCUGUUGCCUUGAAUGGCAGCUGAAUGCACCAGCGGGAUCCUUGGCAGCAAUGCCCAGGCACUGAAGUCGGGCAUUCAGGAGAGCUAAAUGGAGAAAAGAAACUUGAGCAAACUGCUUCCUGGAACACUGAGAACCUGAAUGGGAAAUUAAGAAGAACCAGAUUCUUUCUAUUCUUCCACCAGCCAAGGUGAUGAGCACAAAAGGAUCCAUCUUAUACAGUGCUUGCCAGCUUCCAUAAUACUACUCACCACGAUGUUGAAAUCACCUGUUCCAGAACCAGUCCUGUCCUUUGACAAGAAGGAUUUAAUUAUCAGUAGUGGUGGGGACUGGCUGGAGAGAGGAAAAACACUUCAAGGACUCUGCCACCUUUCGUAGAUGGAGAGUGCAAAGUUUGUACCAUGGAACUCCUUCUCUAACAGUUACUCUGUGGCAGUGCCUAUUUCAAACCUCCCUUAACUUCUGAUUGUAUAGAUGUUUGUUUCAUUUGUUCAUCUGUUUGUUCACUUAGUCAGAGAUGUUUUAAGCCUUAAGAGAAAUAGUGGACUAGAAAAUGCCUUGGAAAAGUACAAAGUUCAAUCCAAGUAAACUGUUUUUAAACUAGGAAUUUAUGAAGCCUAAAAUAUAAAAUGUAUAUACAUGGAUAUGCUCUGAA